rnacentral:tRNA from 1 species
CGCCCUUUCGUCUAGCGGUCUGGACAUCUCCCUCUCAAGGAGAAGGUGCGAGGUCAGCACUCGCAAGGGCGACCA